UGGGAGAUCCCAGAACCUCUCAGAGAAGAACGGAGAAAACGUGAAACUUGAGCCAGGCGGGCGGGCAACAGUGCAAGCUACGCAGGCAUGCUUAACUGUUUAAGGAUACUCUUCCUGUGUGACAAGGCUCAGGGGCCCCUAACUCUGAGAAACCAGAGGAUGCUGAGAUGUUUGGAACACAGAGCUGUGUGUCAUCCGGGAGGAAAUCAGAAGAGGAGCAACAAGGAUUUGAAAGACAAAAGUGAAAAACAGUUUUCCGGGAUGCUGGACCCAGUGGUGGACCACAGUAGCAAGCAAGGAUGACUUGAGGAAGCAGACACAGGUGGAAAGCAGACUGGGAAGACAGACAGCCAGAUGCAGUCUCUGGCUCCUGCGUGACCACAGUAUAAGGUUCCUGCCUCGAGAUCCUGCCCUGACUUCCUUGCAGCUGAUGGACCUCAAUUAGUCUAAACUAUGAACCGUCCCGCCUGUUCGUCAGUUUGCAAUGGGGAAUUCUAACGCUUCAGGACCUAAAUUACUGCCGUGCAACUUCCACAUUGCCUCCACUAGGAAGACUCAUCUGCUUCUGCUACAAGAAGAAAUAUAUAGUCACCAACCCAAAAAUUAACCUCGAAGAGUAGAAGACAAGAGAAGCACAGAGGUCGUGGAGAUUGAUGAGAGAAGAGUGUAUUGUGCAGCCACUUCCCUGAUGAAUGAAAGGACACAGAGUUUUCAGGGCUACAGUAUCUGCUGUGAAGAUGAAUAAUUAGAAAUCAAGGCGUUCUGGUUGGAUUUUUGUCAACUUGGCACGAGCCAGGGUCAUCUGUGAAGAAGGAAUUUCAAUUGAGAAAUGCCUGCAUCAAAUUGGCCUGAUGGUUCCUGCUUUGAGCUUCUGCCCUGACUUCCCUAAGUGCUGGACUGACCUGAGAGCUGUAAAAUGAAAGAACACCUAUUGUCCUUGGUUGUCUUCAGCCAUUGCAUCUGUCACAGUAAUGGAAGGCAAAGCAGGGCACAUGGCCAUCCUUGUGUUUAUUGUUCCUCACACACACCCUGGCCCUUCCACUCUCCCGCCCUGUAGCUCUGAACCAAAAAAUACCCCAUGACCUAAGUAAACUUGUU